GGGGAAUAUUGGACAAUGGGCGAAAGCCUGAUCCAGCCAUGCCGCGUGAGUGAUGAAGGCCCUAGGGUUGUAAAGCUCUUUCACCGGUGAAGAUAAUGACGGUAGCCGGAGAAGAAGCCCCGGCUAACUUCGUGCCAGCAGCCGCGGUAAUACGAAGGGGGCUAGCGUUGUUCGGAAUUACUGGGCGUAAAGCGCACGUAGGCGGAUUGUUUAGUGAGGGGUGAAAUCCCAGGGCUCAACCCUGGAACUGCCUCUCAUACUGGCAAUCUCGAGUCCGAGAGAGGUGAGUGGAAUUCCGAGUGUAGAGGUGAAAUUCGUAGAUAUUCGGAGGAACACCAGUGGCGAAGGCGGCUCACUGGCUCGGUACUGACGCUGAGGUGCGAAAGCGUGGGGAGCAAAC
rnacentral:rRNA from 1 species